UAGGGUGGAACCCGUGGUGGGGGGAUUAGCCGAUAACUAGUUCUUGGUUAGUUCAAAUCUAGCUUCACCCUAA
rnacentral:tRNA from 1 species